rnacentral:lncRNA from 1 species
UUCUCGCAUUCUUUGGAAAAUCAAAUAGCCCCUCAGCCCCGAAAAAGUUUAGAAUGCAUCAGUUAUAAUACUGACAUGACAUCCCCAACUAAUAGGAUUGUCCCCUUUGGCAGUGUUUGAUUAGGGGAUAGGGAUAGGAAUAGUCCCUUAUUCCCUUUAUAUCCAAACGCUAAUUUUUUACCUAAGAAAAACAGUUCUCGGUUAUCUAUAAUAACCGGUUAUAACUAUCCCCACCAACACCUCCAUUUUUUAUAUAAAACUACUUAAUAUUUUUCUUAUUCCAUAUUAUCUAUUCAAACGUUAUUUUUCUUAUCCCCGGAAACAACCCGAUUUUCAUCCAAACGCUAUUUUUUUUAUCCCCAUAUUUGUAUCUAUCCCUGUAAUAGCUAGUUCUUACUUAUACCCGAACCAAACAGUACUUUCGGAUUUACUCAUCAUAAUUAAUUGAAAAAUAUUUUUAUUAUAUUUUUUUUUAAAAAAAAUAUUAUAAUUUGUUACUGAUGAUGCGGUGUAAGUAUGAUAGUGUAGACUUCCUUCUUAACCCCUUACCCAAUUACCGUAGGUACAAUGGAUUUGAAGUUAUUUUUUAUUAAAAAUAAUUAAAUUAGGUAUGUAUCUAAAUUGGUCUCGCAUUGCAGGUGCAGCUAAGAUCAUUAUGGGGCCUAUUUAAUUCACUGACAUGGAUCGCACAACCGAAUCUUUCUCGGUUCAGAAUAUACUUUGUUUGCCGGAGGAGGUUUAUAUUAUCACCUCUUCUAUCCCCAAUAAAAAUCCAAAAUAAUAAUAAUAACAAUAAUUAAUUAUAUAUAAUUUUCUAUAAAUAUAGCGAAUAACAGAUAUAUCAUUACAAAGUUUAAUUUUUUAUUUUUAUUUUAUAAAAAUUCUAUUAUUUUUAAAUAUAUCUCGACUGUUAGAAUCUGUUAGAAAAAUAUAGUUAAUUAUAUAUAAAAUACAUAACCAUAAUUAGUGAUGAGAUAAAUUGACCUUUUUUCUUUCUUAUAUUAUAAUAAUAAUGAUUAUAUAAUCAGAAGAUCACUUUUGGGAGGACAUUUUUUGUAUAAUUCUAACAGUUAAAACUUUUGAAAAAAUAAAUUUGUGAUGAUAAAAAUGUUAUUUUAGUUAUAUACUAUUAAAAAAUAAACAAUGCUCUAGCGACUAACAGUAACAAACCAGAGGAGCAAAUAUAAAUAUCAUUGAACUUUUGUAGGCAUAAAAAUAAAAAGUUGAACUUUGCAGAGACAUAUCUGCUAUUUGAUAUGUUUAUAGAGAGCUUUAUGCAAUUAACCUUAAUAAUAAUAAUACCUAAUUACUUUUUAUCAUUAAAUGUAGGGCACAUUUGAUUCACAGUUUGUAAUAUUUCGAUAAUUUUUUAUAUUUUUAUUAAAAAUAUUUAAAUUAUUAU